rnacentral:sRNA from 1 species
AGGAUCUGCCUGUCAGUUAUAGAGUGUCAUGGGACUCACUUAGAAGUCAAGAGUGGACACUGUUAUAUCGGAGUGGUUUGCCCACUAGACUGCCCGAAGAAACACUGGAACAUAGACUGCAGAGACACUUGCUCCUAUUGUGAUGACGACUGUGACAAGUUUACGGGGCGAUGUAAGGCCUGUGUGGCAGGCCACAAAUACCCAGAGGAUGGCUGCCAUGAGAGGUGUGAUACAAAUCAGUAUGGCGUGAACUGUGAGGGUGAUUGUGAGGCAAAGUGUGGACAUGACUGUAUCAACAGAAUCACAGGGCAGUGUCAAGGUUGGUAACACAAACAUAC